rnacentral:lncRNA from 1 species
GUACAUUUUAUGUUGUAGAUAUGUCGCAGUAGAGUAGUUGCCUGAGGGCACACACUUAAUGUGUUGUGAAAUGUAAUACAACGUUUUUAAUUGUAUAUACCAGGCAUUAAUUUUGCUGGUCCCCAGGAAAAGUAUCUGCUGCCAAUUGGGAUCCAUAAUAAAUACAAAUACAAAUCAUAAACCGCUGUGAAAUAUAUUUUCCAUAACAAAAAAUAUUGUAUUUUCAGCUGUUUGAAACUGGUGUACAAAACCGAAAGUAAAAUACGCAAAAAGGGAAACUUAAGAACGGGCAUCAUAGAAACCCAGCACAUAGAAGACAUAUACGGCUUUUAAAACUUGCUUUCAAUGAGAAUAACAGAUAACUCAAUUGAAAUGUGACUUUGGCCGUGUAGCCCCAAAAAGUUACAUAUUGCAGCGUUAAAGGUAGGGGGAUUCUACUUUGCCAAUCAGACGUAGUUACUAGGCGGGCCUGACAUUUCAUUGGACCAUUCAAGGUUCUCCUACCUGAUUCCCUUCGGGUAGGUUACAACUUCAAUGUAACCAGAGUGUUGAACGGUACUGGAGGUAGUUCUUCAGUUAAUUUGAUGUCUGCCAUAGAGGAGUUUUGGCCAGGAAUGUCCAGACUUUCACUUUUCGACUUUCAAAGUCUUAAGAUUGUUGUAAUUUCAAAGGCCUGUUAGCAUAAUGUAGCUAACAGUAUAUGUUUUUUUGCUAGCUAUAACUGUAUUCUUGUCUCCGCUAGCUGAUUCAUUGAGCGGUAUGCAGCUAGCUAGCGUUGAAUAGUCCCUAGGUGGUCUCACACGUUUCUUACUUUGCCGUGGACAACAAUUUACUGUUAAAUGUGAACUGACUGGAAGAACUAGCUAACUAAUAAAGAACAACGAUAUGGUUUAAAGGGUUAUUGUAUCCUACGAUAAGUCGUCGGUGAGAAGGAAAAGCGGAAUUCGAACUGCCUCGAUGUGUCGUUUGGAUGUGGAGUCUGACGUGAAAGGACCUGAACAACAUAGACAUGUCCUCCCUUCGUCAAGCACCAUUCUCACUUAACGCAGCAAUUUAAGGCGAGUUGCAGUAGAGAGAAUUUCGAUAUCAAAAAUGAAAGCAAAAUUGUAAAAUCAAUAUCCGACAAAGCAACAUGAAAAGAAGAAAAAACUGUGGCGGGACAACUCCACAGGAAUUACAGAAAAAAGAAACUGCUAAAAGCUGUAAUGACAUAACACCAUCAAGCGAGGAAAAUGAUACACUUCAACAUGUUCAAGAAGCAAAUUAAGAAGAUGCAGCCUCCCCAAGAGAACAGCCAUUCUCACCUCAGCAGGUAAAUGUCCUGCCAUCAACUCCUAAAAGAAGAGAGACAUCUCUACAGACACCAGGACCAAGGAAGACAUCUACCCCAAAGGAAUCACCCAAAAAGAGGAACAGAAGAAAGAAAACACUAUCAAAAUUUUGGGCAAAGUUGCACUACACAGAAGAGAAGCUUCUGGAGAGGACCAAAGAGAUGGUCAAUCCAAAGAAAAGACUGAAAAGACUUGAGAUGAUGGCCAAGAGGAAGCAGGUAAUUGUCAACAUGGAAGGCAAAGAGGUGUCAUCAGAGAACAUUACAGCCGGAGAAGACUAAUGCACACACUUGUUAGCCGCUUCCUUCAUCGAGAUGAAGUCAACACUAAUAAAUGGGUAAUCUGGAGAACUUUGGAAAAAGGGACAGUUAUUCCAUAAGAGAGCCUUAAUAACGGACGCUAUGGCAUAUCUUCAUAGAAGAUUUCUGUCUGAGAAUCCAAGGCACAACCUUUCCAAGGCUCAAUUCUUUAAACGAGUCACAGACAGAGAAACAUGUGCUUGCAAAAGGCAUGGAAACUUUGGCUUGAAGAUAAAGAAGCUGCACCAGCUUGGGGUCAUAGAAACAUCAUCCCCAGGCCAGUGUCUGUAGUGACGAUGACAUGUCCUGCUCUGUUUUUGGAUGUUUUCAGCCUAUGUAUGUUAUGUACUUUUGAAGCACUGCAAAAUGAAUUUGAUUGAACUUGAAUCCAUGAUUGUGCCAAUCUCUCAUUUAUUUUCUACAUUAAAUGUCAUGUUUUUAAUCAUACCUCAGUCUUAGUAUACUUAUUAUCAUUACAGAAAUUGUCGACCUCAUUUCUGAAACCUAGGUAUCAUUACCGCAACAGGUGUUCAUUUAAUGUUAUUUUAAUGAAUGGAAAAAUUGUAAAUUGCUUUUAAAUGCAUGUGCAGAAUCUAUAAGUUAUGUUCUUUCAGGUUUGCCACAUCAUUUUGAAAAUGUCAGGUUUCAAUGAAAUAUCUAAAAAUAUUAGGUUGUAGAUUGUGGAAGAUGUUGCGGUAAUGAGAGAGCAGUCAAAAUCAAAUGUUAUAUUUGUUUCAGAGUUUCAAGUAACUGCAUGACUAACAUUUUCAAUUAUUAUUAUUUUUUGAUUAUUAGCUUUCCUAAUGGUAUCGACUGUUGUGGUGAUGAGAUUUUUAAGGACUUGUUUUUGAAAAUGUUAAAUGUGUUAAUUUAAAAACAUUUACUGACAAUUUAAUGCUCACAAACACUUCAGACCUUGUUAUUAAUGCCUAAAAAGGAAAUGUAUUGCAAGUCUAAAGAUUUCAUGUUUGAAAUCUUUGAAACCAAGAUUUUGUGAGUCACCCUAAUACAGAACAUCAAUAGACAAGAACAGCUCAAGUACAGAACUACAUAAAAAUUUUUUAAAAGGCACGCGUAGCCUACAUAUCAAUGCGUACACACAAAAUAUCUACCGUAAUUUCCGGACUAUAAGCCGCAACUUUGUUCCCAGGCUUCGAACCUCGCGGCUUAAACAAUGACGCGGCUAAUAUAUGGAUUUUUCCCGCUUUCAUUUUUUUUUUUCUCCAAAAAACACAUUCUGUGACGUGCUCAGAUUUUUGGCGGCAUGAAGCUUUCAUUAGACCAAUGAAAUUGGCAAACGGGUUAAGGUCAAACAACUUUUUUGUUUACUGUUUAGAUUAAAUCGAGCGCUCUCAAACUUCCCAUCAUUCUGAUUACGGUAGUCAUUUUGUCACCAUCAUGGCAAAGACACGGAGAAAUGCAUAUGAUGCAGCUUUCAAGUUGAAGGCGAUUGAUCUGGCUGUUGGAAAAGGAAAUGGAGCUGCUGCACGGGAG